rnacentral:rRNA from 1 species
CAGGUCACUCCUACGGGAGGCAGCAGUGGGGAAUAUUGGACAAUGGGGGCAACCCUGAUCCAGCAAUGCCGCGUGAGUGAUGAAGGCCUUCGGGUUGUAAAGCUCUUUUGCCAGGGACGAUAAUGACGGUACCUGGAGAAUAAGCCCCGGCUAACUUCGUGCCAGCAGCCGCGGUAAUACGAAGGGGGCUAGCGUUGUUCGGAAUUACUGGGCGUAAAGGGCGCGUAGGCGGUCUGAUAAGUUAGAUGUGAAAUUCCCGGGCUUAACCUGGGGGCUGCAUUUGAUACUGUCAGGCUUGAAUCCAGGAGAGGAUAGUGGAAUUCCCAGUGUAGAGGUGAAAUUCGUAGAUAUUGGGAAGAACACCAGUGGCGAAGGCGGCUAUCUGGACUGGCAUUGACGCUGAGGCGCGAAAGCGUGGGGAGCAAACAGGAUUAGAUACCCUGGUAGUCCACGCCGUAAACGAUGAGUGCUAGACGCUGGUAGGUUUACCUAUCGGUGUCGCAGCUAACGCAUUAAGCACUCCGCCUGGGGAGUACGGUCGCAAGAUUAAAACUCAAAGGAAUUGACG